rnacentral:piRNA from 1 species
CUGAAACUCAGGAGAGAGCUAGACUUC